ensembl:lncRNA
CGGGGGAGACGAGGGAGGGGUCAGUUUACCUCCACGGGGGAGCUGCACCUGGUGGACAGGAAGUGGACGUCGUUGAUGAGAGACAGUCGUCAUCUGCUCACCUGGAGGUGCAGGAAACUGAAUUUUGCUCAACGAUGUAAAAAGAUGGCUGUCUGAUUGACCCCCUCCCCGCCGCGUGGGCUUCGUCCACCAUCUUUGGCGUAACAUACAGAACGCCUCCCUGCGGAUACGACGAGGACAGCUUGUCAGAGACGUCUUUCUUUCCGCCGUCUCCUUCCUCAGAAGGAGCACGAACCCCUGAAACUCAAAAGCGUUUCCCCGUCAGCUCCUCACGCCGCUCUCGCCCUCCUCCCCGAAGGCAAAGAGCGGGGACACCGUGUGACGCGAAUUACCACGGGCCCGUCGGUGGCCAUAAACGCAGCAUCGAGUUCUCCCCAAACAGACGGCGGCCUGCGCGCUGACGCGGGGCCUUUGCGGGCGACGUCUUGGACGCCCCUCAGAUGGAUGUGACGGAGCCACUUAUCUCGGAGUUUAUAGGCCGGUAAUGAAACAGUAACCGGAGUCGUUUGCGCGCUUUAAAGUGGGUGUUGAAGUGGAAAUGUGCAGCGAGGCUUGGUGGAGCAUUAAGGCCUGAAGUGCGGCGAGCUGUAAACUGUGUACUCUGGACUCUCCCCGGGAAUCCUGCCUCUCACAGCCCGCCGCGGGCGGAGGAAAACGUCGGCCCCCGGCGGGCUCGGAGGGGAGAAAGACGCGCCGGGCGCGCGACGUCACGUCUGCCGGACUUGGCUUCGGUCUGCAGAGCUCGUUUGGGUUUCGCUUCCCUCUGCUCCGUGCGAGCUAAAUAUAAACCGCGCUGCGUCCUUCCAACUGAGCCACAUCUGCAUUGCUUUACACGCCCCAUCUUUGAGUUUUUAACGACUCUUCAUGGAACGAUAUCUGUUUAAAUUCCUCAAAGCAGAU